rnacentral:rRNA from 1 species
AUUGAACGCUGGCGGCGUGCUUAACACAUGCAAGUCGAACGGUAAGGCCCUUCGGGGUACACGAGUGGCGAACGGGUGAGUAACACGUGGGUGAUCUGCCCUGCACUUCGGGAUAAGCCUGGGAAACUGGGUCUAAUACCGGAUAGGACCACUGCCUGCAUGGGUGGUGGUGGAAAGCUUUUGCGGUGUGGGAUGGGCCCGCGGCCUAUCAGCUUGUUGGUGGGGUGAUGGCCUACCAAGGCGACGACGGGUAGCCGGCCUGAGAGGGUGACCGGCCACACUGGGACUGAGAGACGGCCCAGACUUCUACGGGAGGCAGCAGUGGGGAAUAUUGCACAAUGGGCGCAAGCCUGAUGCAGCGACGCCGCGUGAGGGAUGACGGCCUUCGGGUUGUAAACCUCUUUCAGCACCGACGAAGCGCAAGUGACGGUAGGUGCAGAAGAAGGACCGGCCAACUACGUGCCAGCAGCCGCCGUAA